rnacentral:rRNA from 1 species
AGUGAACGCUGGCGGUAGGCCUAACACAUGCAAGUCGAACGGCAGCACAGUAAGAGCUUGCUCUUACGGGUGGCGAGUGGCGGACGGGUGAGGAAUACAUCGGAAUCUACUUUUUCGGGGGGGAUAACGUAGGGAAACUUACGCUAAUACCGCAUACGACCUACGGGUGAAAGCAGGGGAUCUUCGGACCUUGCGGGAUUGAAUGAGCCGAUGUCGGAUUAGCUAGUUGGCGGGGUAAAGGCCCACCAAGGCGACGAUCCGUAGCUGGUCUGAGAGGAUGAUCAGCCACACUGGAACUGAGACACGGUCCAGACUCCUACGGGAGGCAGUAGUGGGGAAUAUUGGACAAUGGGCGCAAGCCUGAUCCAGCCAUACCGCGUGGGUGAAGAAGGCCUUCGGGUUGUAAAGCCCUUUUGUUGGGAAAGAACAGCAGCAGGUUAAUACCCCGCUGUUCUGACGGUACCCAAAGAAUAAGCACCGGCUAACUUCGUG